rnacentral:rRNA from 1 species
GGUAAAUMUCGUGCCAGCCWCCGCKGWUAUACGAGAGACCCUAGUUGAUACUUACGGCGUAAAGAGUGGUUAGAAACAAAUACUAAAACUAAAGCCAAAGACCUUCCAAGCCGUCGUACGCACCCCGGAGAUACGAAGCCCAAAAACGAAAGUAGCUUUAUCUAUGAGCCGACCCCACGAAAGCUAAAAAACAAACUAGGAUUAGAUACCCCAC